rnacentral:rRNA from 1 species
CUGCCUACGGGGGGCAGCAGUGGGGAAUAUUGCACAAUGGGGGAAACCCUGAUGCAGCGACGCCGCGUGAGUGAAGAAGUAAUUCGUUAUGUAAAGCUCUAUCAGCAGGGAAGAAAUGACGGUACCUGACUAAGAAGCCCCGGCUAACUACGUGCCAGCAGCCGCGGUAAUACGUAGGGGGCAAGCGUUAUCCGGAUUUACUGGGUGUAAAGGGAGCGUAGACGGCGAUGCAAGUCUGAAGUGAAAGGCGGGGGCCCAACCCCCGGACGGCUUUGGAAACUGUAAAGGUGGAGUGCAG